rnacentral:tRNA from 1 species
GCCCCCUUCGUCUAGUGGCCCAGGACAUCUGGUUCUCAGCCAGAAGAUCACCGGUUCGAAUCCGGUAGGGGGUAC